rnacentral:rRNA from 1 species
GACGAACGCUGGCGGCGUGCUUAAUGAAUGCGAGUCGAGCGAGAACCAGAUGAGUGCUUGCACAAGUCUGGGGAGAGCGGCAAACGGGUGAGUAACACGUGGGUAACCUGCCCUGCAGACGGGCAUAACAGUUGGAAACGACUGCUAAUUCCCGAUGGUCUGUGGGAGCGUAAGCUUCCAUAGUAAAGGUUUAUUCCGCUGCAGGAUGGGCCCGCGGGCCAUUAGCUUGUUGGUAGGGUAACGGCCUACCAAGGCGACGAUGGCUAGCCGGUCUGAGAGGAUGGUCGGCCACACUGGGACUGAGACAUGGCCCAGACUCCUCCGGGAGUUAGCAUCAGGGAAUCUUGCGCAAUGGGCGAAAGCCUGACGCAGCGACGCCGCGUGAGGGAUGAAGGUCUGCGGAUCGUAAACCUCUGUAAGCAGGGACGAAGUGCCCGAUUCUGUCGGGAGUGACGGUACCUGCAGAGUAAGCUCCGGCUAACUACGUGCC